CGGGUACGGGGAUUAGGGUUCGAUUCCGGAGAGGGAGCCUGAGAAACGGCUACCACAUCCNAGGAAGGCAGCAGGCGCGCAAAUUACCCAAUCCCGACACGGGGAGGUAGUGACAAUAAAUAACAAUACGGGGCUCAUUUGGGUCUCGUAAUUGGAAUGAGUACAUUUAAAUCCCUUAACGAGGAACAAUUGGAGGGCAAGUCUGGUGCCAGCAGCCGCGGUAAUUCCAGCUCCAAUAGCGUAUAUUAAAGUUGUUGCAGUUAAAAAGCUCGUAGUUGAACUUCGGGGUUUACCCAUUGGUCAGGCUUAAUUGUCUGUACUGGUGAGAUGAAUCUCUACCUUCUGAGGAACUUUCAUGCCAUUUAGUUGGUGUGAUWGGAAAUCAGGACUGUUACUUUGAAAAAAUUAGAGUGUUUAAAGCAGGCUAACGUCUGAAUACAUUAGCAUGGAAUAAUGAAAUAGGACGGAUUGGUUCUAUUUCGUUGGUUUCUAGGAUCACCGUAAUGAUUAAUAGGGAUAGUUGGGGGCAUUAGUAUUCAAUUGUCAGAGGUGAAAUUCUUGGAUUUAUUGAAGACUAACUAUUGCGAAAGCAUUUGCCAAGGAUGUUUUCAUUAAUCAAGAACGAAAGUUAGGGGAUCGAAGACGAUCAGAUACCGUCGUAGUCUUAACCAUAAACUAUGCCGACUAGGGAUCGGACGAAGUUAAUUUUAUAAUGACGCGUUCGGCACCUUACGGGAAACCAA
rnacentral:rRNA from 1 species